ACGGAAGGCAGCAGUGGGGGAUAUUGCACAAUGGGGGAAACCCUGAUGCGGCGACGCCGCGUGAGGGAAGAAGGUUUUCGGAUUGUAAACCUCUGUCUUCAGGGACGAUAAUGACGGUACCUGAGGAGGAAGCCACGGCUAACUACGUGCCAGCAGCCGCGGUAAUACGUAGGUGGCGAGCGUUGUCCGGAAUUACUGGGUGUAAAGGGAGCGUAGGCGGGUAUGCAAGUUGAAUGUGAAAUCUAUCGGCUCAACUGAUAGGCUGCGUUCAAAACUGUAUAUCUUGAGUGAAGUAGAGGCAAGCGGAAUUCCUGGUGUAGCGGUGAAAUGCGUAGAUAUCAGGAGGAACACCGGUGGCGAAGGCGGCUUGCUGGGCUUUUACUGACGCUGAGGCUCGAAAGCAUGGGUAGCAAACAGGAUUAGAUACCCUGGUA
rnacentral:rRNA from 1 species